CCUUGCGCCUGGCUGCCCGCCGCGGGUCCGGCGUGCGUGCUCCAUGGUGGAGCUCGGGCUUCCUCCAGAAGAAGUGGAGUGAGUUGUGCAAGGUGCGCUGCGGCCCCGCUGAGAGCUCGGGCUGAGACCAGGUCCGAGAUGCUUCUCGCGUCGCCCCCAUCGCUCGGCUCAGACCCUUACCGGCGGCCAAGGUUUGGGCCUUUCUGCCGUAGGACACGUCCACCCACGCGCUUCUGGGUGCCUUGGCAACGCGCCGCGGGGCGUGGCCUCAGAGACAGACAGCACCGUGGCUAGGGUCGACCUUUGCCCCAGUUACUGGGGGCCUGGAACCUAGCAACCUUGGGAGAGGCUGCGGGCCUCAGGAAUUCCUUUUUUUUUUUUCUGAGAUAAAGUCUCAUGUAGCUUGGGCCAACUUCGAACUCUGUAUGUAGAUGAAUGAAGAUGACGCUGAAUUCCUCAAUCUUCUGCCACCACCAGCCCCUCCUCAAGUGCUUGACUUAAAAGUCUGGACCAUCACAGGAAGAAGUCCUUCCCCUGCUUUCCCCUGCUUCCGUGUGUUCAUUCAUUCAUUCCGCAAAUAUUUGUACAGUGGCACUCUACUCCAAGCGCUGUUUCCGGCACUGAGCAGAACAAGGAACAAGCUUCUGUCUCCGGCUUCUUUAGCCUUUGACCAGCGGUGAAGAUGGGGAAAACCCAGUCACGGGAAUAAAUUUUAUUUACAAACCGGUGAAA